UAAGUACUCCGUCCCAAAAUUCUUGUCUUAGAUUUGUCUAGAUACGAAUGUAUCUAGUCACAUUUUAGUAUUUUGAUACAUUCGUUUUUAAGCAAACCUAAGACAAGAAUUUUGGGACGGAGGGAGUACAAG
rnacentral:pre_miRNA from 1 species